rnacentral:rRNA from 1 species
UACAGAGGUCCCGAGCGUUGUUCGGAUUCAUUGGGCGUAAAGGGUGCGUAGGCGGUCUUCUAAGUUUGAUGUGAAAUUCCGGGGCUCAACCCUGGCAUGGCAUUGAAUACUGGAGGACUAGAGUACCGGGAGAGGAAACUGGAAUUUACGGUGUAGCAGUGAAAUGCGUAGAGAUCGUAAGGAAGACCAGUGGCGAAGGCGAGUUUCUGGACGGUAACUGACGCUGAGGCACGAAGGCCAGGGGAGCAAACGGGG